AUUGAACGUUGGCGGCAGGCCUAACACAUGCAAGUCGCACGAGUGGCGGACGGGUGAGUAAUGUCUGGGAAUCUGCUUGAUGGAGGGGGAUAACUACUGGAAACGGUAGCUAAUACCGCAUACCCUCAGAUGUGCCUAGAUGGGAUUAGCUUGUCGGUGGGGUAACGGCUCACCAAGGCGACGAUCCCUAGCUGGUCUGAGAGGAUGACCAGCCACACUGGAACUGAGACACGGUCCAUACUCCCACGUGAGGGAGCAGGGGGGAAUAUUGCACAAUGGGCGCAAGCCGGGUGCAGCCAUGCGGCUUGUAUGAAGAAGGCCUGCGGGGUGUAAAGUACUUUCAGCGGGGAGGCGUUGCCCGAAGAAGAAGCACCGGGUAACUCCGUGCGAGCGGCCGCGGUAAUUG
rnacentral:rRNA from 1 species